GGCCGCCACGACAGUAGAUAUCACAAGGGGAUCAACGCGCCACCAACGGUGGUACGCGCCGUAAUUGUGAAACACUACUGGACGUGCAACUACACUCUCCACGCGAGGGCGGCUGGAAACAGGCUUUUAGUAAGGUCAUGUAACUGCUAAGAGUGCUGGCUAAUCGUAGUUG
rnacentral:ribozyme from 1 species